AUUCUGUUUUUAAAUGGAGUGUUGUAUUAAAAGUUACUUUUGUUUAGUUGUAAAUAUGCCACUUAUUAUUGACUACUAAUGUUAAAAUUUAUUAGUUGUGUUGUUAACUAUGGCGUCGUGCUGCUGUUGGGUGUUGUAUCGUUGAUGGCUGGGUCGACCACUGGUGUACCGAUGUCUCCUGGGUAUGGUGGAUACCAAGCAACAGCAGCGCAAGAGUACUACACCACGUCAUCGCCUUACUACACAACAACGUCAACAUACGUAACACCUGCCUAGUACACCGAGGCCCUCAAGUACUACAUCACCAAGGAUGCAGAGUAUUACACGAAAACUUUAGCUGCUCCCAGCUACUACGCCAAAGCCCCGAAGUAUUACUCUGCCCCAACUUACAUCACCAUCGCAUCACAUGCCAUCACCAAAGCGCCUGAUUACUACACCACCAAAGCACCUAACUAUACUAUAACCACACCACCGAGGCACCGGAGUACUACACCACCGAGGCACCGGAGUACUAC
rnacentral:misc_RNA from 1 species